rnacentral:rRNA from 1 species
UGGGGAAUCUUGCGCAAUGGGCGAAAGCCUGACGCAGCGACGCCGCGUGGGGGAUGAAGCUUCUCGGAGUGUAAACCCCUUUCGACCCGGACGAAACACCCGCAAGGGUUUGACGGUACGGGUAUAAGAAGCCCCGGCUAACUACGUGCCAGCAGCCGCGGUAAGACGUAGGGGGCCAGCGUUGCUCGGAAUUACUGGGCGUAAAGGGUUCGUAGGCGGUGUGGCAAGUCGGGAGUGAAAUCUCUGGGCUUAACCCAGAGGCUGCUUCCGAAACUGCCGUGCUAGAGUGCGGGAGAGGCGAGUGGAAUUGCAGGUGUAGCGGUGAAAUGCGUAGAUAUCUGCAGGAACACCCGUGGCGAAGGCGGCUCGCUGGACCGCAACUGACGCUGAGGAACGAAAGCUAGGGGAGCAAACAGGAUUAGAUACCCCCGUAGUCC